rnacentral:rRNA from 1 species
UACAGAGGUCCCAAGCGUUGUUCGGAUUCACUGGGCGUAAAGGGUGCGUAGGUGGCCGGGUAAGUCUGACGUGAAAUCUCCGAGCCUAACUCGGAAACUGCAUCGGAUACUAUCCGGCUUGAGGGUUGGAGGGGGGACUGGAAUACUUGGUGUAGCAGUGAAAUGCGUAGAUAUCUGGAGGAAUACCGGUGGCGAAGGCGGCAUCCUGGACCGACAUUGACGCUGAUGAGCGAAAGCUAGGGGAGCAAACGGG